ACUUUCCUAUCAAGGGUCAUGUCCUCGGAAACCUGCAUUCUAGUCAUGUCCUGCCUAAUCACCUCUCCCCAAUACUUCUUAGGCCUCCCCCUGCCUCGCGGAUCGCCAACAAUCUCCAGCCGCUCGCAGCUCCUCACCGGGGCAUCGGGACUUCUCCUCCGCAUAUGCCCGAACCACCUCAGCCUCGCUUCUCGCAUCUUCUCAUCCACCGUAGCCACCCCCACCUUCUCUCGAAUAACUUCAUUCUUAAUCUUAUCUAGCCUGGUGGGACCGCACAUCCACCUAAGCAUCCUCAUCUCCGCAACCUUCAUUCUCUGAACAUGAGAGUUCUUCACGGGCUAGCACUCCACCCCAUACAACAUCGCAGGUCUAACCACGGCUCUAUAGAAAUUCCCCUUGAGUUUGUUUGGAACUUUCUUGUCACACAGGACUCCUGAUGCAAGCCUCCACUUUGAC
rnacentral:lncRNA from 1 species